UGCUGUCCUUAGGCCUAACGUACCGAGGUGGCGACAGCGCGGGUUGGAGGUAUAAGUGGUGGUGGUUGUAGUGGUGGUGGUGGUGGUGGUGUUAUGGUCGACUGACUCCACGGGGCACUGCGUCAUGACGGAAAUUAUUUUCUUUCACCGUCGUCUGGAUAGAAAGAAAGAAAUACAGUCAGCUGGAAUUCCGUGUGGGGGUGUUCCUGUGGUGAGGCGGUUCUGUUAAAAAUCGUUCUUUCUUGAGACUUAGAACUAAGAAGACCGUCUCGCUUGCUCUGUUGCUUCGCUGUCAUCGUGUGAGGGCGAGGCGAAGAAGAGGACUUAGAUUUAGAAUCUAGAUCUAGUCAAGUGUGUAUGUGUGUCAGUCAGUGAAUGUGUACGUGCACCUGUGUGCGCUCACUCAGGAACUCCCCUCACUCAUUCAUUUGUGGUGCCUUACAGUGCGACGAGGAUGAUGCGUUGUGUAAUCAAUAUGUGCGCACUUACUUGACAAGACGUAUAGAUCUAGGUGCUGAAGACUAGGCUAGAGGUGAUACAACAGAGUGCCAAACAUGAACAAGGACAGAUGAGGACGAUAGAAUAAUAAUAAUAAUAAUAA